rnacentral:rRNA from 1 species
UACGGGGGGCGCAAGCGUUGUCCGGAAUUAUUGGGCGUAAAGAGCUCGUAGGCGGUCUGUUGCGUCUGCUGUGAAAACCCGGGGCUUAACCCCUGGCUUGCAGUGGAUACGGACAGACUAGAGGUAGGUAGGGGAGAAUGGAAUUCCCGGUGUAGCGGUGAAAUGCGCAGAUAUCGGGAGGAACACCGGUGGCGAAGGCGGUUCUCUGGGCCUUACCUGACGCUGAGGAGCGAAAGCGUGGGGAGCGAACAGG